rnacentral:rRNA from 1 species
UACGGGGGGUGCAAGCGUUAAUCGGAAUUACUGGGCGUAAAGGGUGCGUAGGUGGAUAUGUAAGUCAUUUUUGAAAUGCCUGGGCUCAACCUAGGUUGGUGAGAUGAGACUGUGUAUCUAGAGUAUAGGAGAGGGUAGGGGAAUUUCCGGUGUAGCGGUGAAAUGCGUAGAGAUCGGAAGGAACACCAGUGGCGAAGGCGCCUACCUGGCCAGAUACUGACACUGAGGCACGAAAGCAUGGGGAGCAAACAGG